UGUUCUUGCACCAGUUGUUCAAGUGCCUGC
rnacentral:piRNA from 1 species